ACGGCGAGUGAAGCGGCAACAGCUCAAAUUUGAAAGCUGGCCUUCGGGUCCGCAUUGUAAUUUGUAGAGGAUGCUUUGGGUGAAACGCCAGUCUAAGUUCCUUGGAACAGGACGUCAUAGAGGGUGAGAAUCCCGUAUGUGACUGGAAAUGUUAACCUAUGUAAAGCUCCUUCGACGAGUCGAGUUGUUUGGGAAUGCAGCUCUAAAUGGGAGGUAAAUUUCUUCUAAAGCUAAAUAUUGGCGAGAGACCGAUAGCGCACAAGUAGAGUGAUCGAAAGAUGAAAAGCACUUUGGAAAGAGAGUUAAAAAGCACGUGAAAUUGUUGAAAGGGAAGCGCUUGCAAUCAGACUUGUUUAAACUGUUCGGCCGGUCUUCUGACCGGUUUACUCAGUUUGGACAGGCCAGCAUCAGUUUCGGCGGCCGGAUAAAGGCUCUGGGAAUGUGGCCUUCACUUCGGUGAAGGUGUUAUAGCCCAGGGUGUAAUACGGCCAGCCGGGACUGAGGUCCGCGCUUCGGCUAGGAUGCUGGCGUAAUGGUUGUAAGCGACCCGUCUUGAA
rnacentral:rRNA from 1 species